rnacentral:rRNA from 1 species
CGGUAAUUCCAGCUCCAAUAGCAUAUAUUAAAGUUGUUGUGGUUAAAAAGCUCAUAGUUGGAUUACAGUUGUGGACUGAUGGUAUAUACACCUAUCGGUGCUUACUAUCACGCUCCUAAACGCGCUCGCUUUGUCGAGCCUCGCUAGCUCGCACGGGGUGCUCUUGAUCGAGUGUCCCGAGUGGCUGGUAUGUUUACUUUGAAAAAAUUAGAGUGCUCAGAGCAGGCUCCUAUUAUGGCCUGAAUGCUUAUGCAUGGAAUAAUGAAAUAAGACCUCGAUUCCAUUUUGUCUGGUUUUUAUGGAAUUGGAGGUAAUGACUAAUAGAGACAAACGGGGGCAUUUGUAUUGCGACGCUAGAGGUGAAAUUCUUGGACCGUCGCAAGACAAACAACUGCGAAAGCAUUUGCCAAGGAUGUUUUCAUUAAUCAAGAACGAAAGUUAGAGGUUCGAAGGCGAUCAGAUACCGCCCUAGUUCUAACCAUAAACGAUGCUGACCAGCAAUCCGCCGGCGUUAUUCCCAUGACCCGGCGGGCAGCUUCCGGGAAACCAAAGUCUUUGAGUUCCAGGGGAAGUAUGGUUGCAAAGCUGAAACUUAAAGGAAUUGACGGAAGGGCACCACCAGGAGUGGAGCCUGUGGCUUAAUUUGACUCAACACGGGAAACCUCACCAGGCCCAGACACUGGAAGGAUUGACAGAUUGAGAGCUCUUUCUCGAUUCA